rnacentral:lncRNA from 1 species
AAGGGGAAACUGAGAUUUAGAAAGAUUAGAGAACUUACCAAGAACAUGUGGAUAAGCCCAUGUGUCACUGGGAUUUGAAAUUCCAGUCUGUCAAAAUCUGACAUCUAAAGACUUCUCCACCACACAGCACUGAGGUAGCCUGUGUGUGGUUUUCUUGUGCCCAAAUGCCUCUAACUUUAUCUGAAGUUCCCAUAAACUAUAAGGACAGGAAUAAAGCCUCCAUUAUGCUCCUGGUCAGAUGCAGCUCAGUGUUGAUCUAAAUGGGCCUGUAGCCCUUUAAUGCUAGCUCCUUAUUGAAUCAACGUUCAGUUAGGAUGAACUGCAGUGUGACAUGCUCUGGGUUAAAACUAAGACUGAGGGGGUAGAACACAAAGUAAAUGCCUGAACUUGUAGACAGUUGUAUACAACUCUGCAGAAAAUCACCCAUUGCUGGAGGGCAGUGGGAGACCCCAGUCUAGUGCCUCUUCCAUUGCCUCAUCCUAAAUGUACCCAAUAUCCUCCCGAGGGAGAGUUCUGGCUCUACCCACAGAAUUUCAAGAACACCCUUGGAGAAGGUCAGCAGUCAAGAUCAGCAGGAUGACAAGGGUCGGACCCUGGACUCAGACACAUAUACAGAAGUCUGCCUAACUCCAAGGGGAAGAGCACCCCCAGGUCAUCUCUGGGUGCUAAAGGGCUGCAGAGGGGCCCAGAGACUGAGGCAGAUGUCUCACGCAAGGGGAGCUCUGACCUCCUCCACAUUCUGCAAAGUGCAAUAGGAAGUGAGGUGCUCCCAGGACUAUGACCAAUUAGUCCUCUUCCCACCAGACAGGGAUAACUGGGUCUGGUUCUAGUUCUACCCAAAUGCACUUCAGAAGUAGGGUUUUUUCCCUGAAGAUUGCCUAUUCCUGUCUUUUCCCUCCCUUGCAUGUGGUGAGGAGAAAUAAUAUAUGUGCGAUGCUUUGAGCUCCUUGAGAAAGCAGCACUCUUUAAGUGCAAGAUAUUAAUAAUAGCAAUAUUUCUGUUACCACGAAGAAAGGCUGAGUCCAUCUUUCACGUGUCCUUUUAAGUCAUUUUCCCUGCGGCUGCCUCUUCUGGUAAAAUGGUUCUGAAGGAGCCAUACAAAUCUCUAGUUUUAAAAUACUCAUUGGGGAAAACACUAGUUGGUCUUCAUAUUAUCUGGAAAGCGAAGAUUCCGAUGUUUGGUUUCUUGGUUGGUCAAGAAUGGGAGCGUGGUCAACCCCCAGGUAACAGAGCGAAGAAAGAGGCAAGUGGUGGGGAAAACAGAAAUCCAUGGAAGCCCUGCCCACCAUGGUCAGAACUCCCGGCUCUCUCCCUGCAGAACAAUGUGGCUGAGUGACAAGAAAUUCCUUUCUUGGGGCUGUGAAACACAAAAGUAGUCUUGCCUUAAGAAAACAGAGCAAGGUGCCUGCAGCCAGGCAGCCAACAGCCUCACUCUAUGAGAAACGGACCUGGCUGAGAUGACUAUUUGCAACCUUGGCAAAACACCAUGAUGUUGAUGAUGAUGAUAAUAAUGAUAGCCACCAUUUACCAAAAGUCCAGAGACUGAGCUGCACUCCUUAUAUUCCUUGUCUUGUGUUCUCUACUCCCCGAAACAUGGUUGAUACUAUUAUCUUUAAAACUCAGAGACGUUUAACAUCUUGCCUAAUAUCACAGAGCAACGAUUUAAAAGUUGAAGUUCAAGCUGAAAAUCAUAUGCUGUGGCUACUUAAAAGAAGAAAAAAGUAGGGCCUGUUCCUUCCCACCCCUCACCCCACCUCCUCUCCAUCCAUUCAAAUGCAUUUGGUGCUUUUUGUGUCUGUGUAAGACACUAUCAGGUCCUGGGAAUACAGUGAUGAAUAAAUAAAUGUCUCCAUCCUGGCGCAGCAGGAACACACUCCACAUGAUAAUACAGGGGGGCUGGGAGCAGAGGAGAGAGGUCUGUUCCCUGCUUUGCUGCUGGAAUAAGCACCUGCAGCCUGGGCUGUAAGCCUAUAUGGUUUCCCCACCUUUAGCCUCUAUGCCUGGGUUCCCUCUCCUUCCAAAGCCUUCCUUCCUUAACAGAAUGCAAACAUUUCAUAAAUAAAACUGAAGAACAGGGUGGAGCCUUGGGCAGUAAAGAGCAUAGAUUUCAGUGUAAAGUACAGCUGAGUGUUAACUCUGUAUUUCCCACCACUUCUGUGUGAGCAUGAAUAAGUCAUAGCCUCACUUUCUGAGCCUUAGUCACUCAUAUUUUAAAUGGAGCUAACACUACGUGUGGUGUGAGAGCGUUAAAUGAGCUAUUGCAUUUAAAGGACCCAUCAUAGGCCUUGGUGGCUCUAAGACCCUCAAUUGUGGUAAAUGCUCUUUCUGUUGUAAAAUCCCAGAAGAAUGUUCACAAACAGCUAGGCUUUACGAGUAAAACCUACUGGAGACUGGUGACUGGUGAGGUGCCAGCACAGCCAUUCUGAAACCUGUGAAAUCUGUAAUAUAACCUCCUUCCAGCAUCCACACUUGUCCAAGAAGUCCUCUGCAGAGAAAGAUUGCUAAUAAAAUGGGAACAAAAGAAAUCACAAGGAAACCAUCCAUUCAGUAACCAAAUAAAGCCAGUGCAAAACCACCCACCGCCCUCUAGCACAAGAGGCUGGCAGGCCACCAGGCAGGGGGCCGCGGGCAGCUAGAGAGCCCCCUUAUUAAACAGAGCUCUGAAGAGAGGGUCACCAUUCACUAGCUGCAGCCCCCAGGGGGCUCAGGAUUGUCCACCCUUUGCUAACAAACACUCACAUCCUCAAUAGAGGAUGGACACAGCACUGGGCAUAAUGAGGUGCCUUCCAAUUUACGCCAGUGCUGGGCCUUGUUCUGAGUAAACUAAGAAUGAAUUUGGUAUUUUGCCUUAAUUAAGGAAAACAAGUCUAAAUGUGAAAGAGCCUCCAGGUUUCUCAUGCUACUGGCAAGUGUAUCUGGUUUUACUCUUUCACACCAACUACAUACUCUAUUUUUCUUUCCUUGCUGAAGGAUGUCAUUGUGAGGCAGACCAAAUAUGACAAUUUAAAUGUGUACCCCGGGGCUUAAGUAUCUCAGCGCCAGAAAUUCUAGUGAUCCUGGCUGAUACAGACAGUCUGACCCCCAGCUGCAGGCCUGGGAAAAGGAAACUGUGCUGCCUAAACAGAAAACAAAUAAGACUUUUUUUUUUUUUUUUUUUUUUGGUAAAGGGUGCUGUCAAGUGUCUUUUUUAUUUAUUUUGCCUUUUGUCUCACUCAAUCAGAAGUCUGAAUAUGAAAAUUCUUUCUUGCUGUUCUUGGUCUAUUUUCCUUCUCUUACUAAAAAUUUUCUUAACUUCAUCUUUAAAAACAAGAUAUCUAAACAAGUACAGUUAAUUACUUUAAUGUAGAGCUUUAAAACAACUGAUUAAAAAGAAAUAGAGCAAACUGGCAUAAGUACUGGCACAAAUAGUAGCAAUUUAGCAAGUACCACAAAUACACCAGAGAUGCUACAGCCAGUCCCUAGAUAUCAAUGGUAUGAAUGGCAAUUCUUCCUUACUGCAGGAUCUGAUUUGGUUUUGGCAUUUACUCCUUCCUCCUAUGAGUCACAGGUACAUCCUGAAUUGUUCAAGCCAGUGAUGGAGAUAUCAUUUUUCUUGGUUUAGAGGUGGGCAUGGAUGCUGGUCAAUGAAACGUAAGAAGGCCCACUGGGAGUCUUCAAGGAAUGGUUUUAAAAAGAACACGCCCAAGAGCUACCCUACUUUGUAGCAUUUUAUGUAAGGUAAUAUUUUUUCCCUUAUUCUUUAAGCCUGUUGAGUUGGAGAUUUCUUAUUUGUCACGGAAAACAUUCAAACUGAUAAAUGGUAACUGCUUGACUCAUUUUAUAAUCUACUCGAUGGAAAAUGCUGUCAGAAUCAAUUUAACACCAUCAUGAGGAAAUUUGUGUCGCAGUCACCUGUUGCUACUGCUCAGCAUCCAUUCUCCUUGCUUAGUAGAGCUUUUCAGAGAGUCAGUGCUUCUAAGACUUGAAUUUGCAGAUGAGUCAUGGUGUUGGGGGGGAGAUCUUGUGAAAACACAGAUUCCAAUUUUGUAGGUGGAGGAUGCAGUCUGAGACUCUGCAUUUCUCCCUGGUGGUGUUGAUGUUGCUGCUCCCUGCACUACUCUGCAUCGAAAGGAUCUGUAUUUCCAUUGGGAAAACCAAUCGUCUCCUAUAUGUUAUAAUAUUUAACUGAAAUUAGUUUAAGCUAGUAAGAGAAGUCUCUUUCUGGACUAUGGUUAUUGGUUCAUAGAUGUGCAUGUCACCCAAUAUGAGCCAAUGAGGUGUGAGAUGUUGAUAAAGAAACUUUUUUUUUUUGCUUUUUAGGGCCACACUCAUGGCAUAUGGAGUUUCCCAGGCUAGGUAGAAUUGGAGCUGUAGCUGCCGGCCUACACCACAGCCAUAGCAACGCUGGAUCCGAGCCUCGUCUGCGACCUACACCACUCACGGCAAUGCCAGAUCCUUAGCCCACUAAGUGAAGCCAGGGAUUGAACCCUCAACCUCAUGGUUCCUAUCUGGUUUCAUUUCCGCUGUGCCACAUAGGAACUCCAAAGAAGCUUUUUCACUCUCUAAGAAAGCUAGUGGAAGAGUGUCUUUGGAUGACAUGAUACAAGGACGUGGUGGUUGGAAUUCCAUAUCUCUGCUGCCCAGUGCAGGAGUGGAGACACAUGGAGAUGAAGCCCACACACUGAAGAGGCAGAGCUGAGGGAACAACAGCCAUAUGGAGCCCCAGUGGAUAAGGCUGUAAACCUUUGGGCCAAGUCCCACCUACGUUAGAGACAACUGGAUAUUCCAGGGCUGUGAUGCAGUAAAAUCCUUUUUCCUUUUGCCUAAAGAGUAUUUGCCUGGGUUUUCUAUUGCUUGAAAUUAAAGUAGUCUUAAGUAAUGCCAUUAGAAUCAAGGCUUUAGAUUAGAGUAGGGGUAGGAAAACUAUAGUCAGAAAUCUGUUUUUGCAUAGUUGUGAAGCAAAGAAUGGUUUCACCUCUUUAAAGAAUUAUAAAAGUGGAGUUCCCAUCGUGGUGCAGUGGUUAACGAAUCCGACUAGGAACCAUGAGGUUGUGGGUUCGAUCCCUGCCCUUGCUCAGUGGGUUAACGAUCCGGCGUUGCCGUGAGCUGUGGUGUAGGUUGCAGACGUGGCUCGGAUCCCGAGUUGCUGUGGCUCUGGCGUAGGCCGGUGGCUACAGCUCCGAUUCAACCCCUAGCCUGGGAACCUCCAUAUGCCGCGGGAGCGGCCCAAGAAAUAGCAACAAUAACAACAACAA